rnacentral:tRNA from 1 species
GGGUAUAGCCCAGUGGUAGAGCACGUGCUUAGCAUGCACAAGGUCCUGGUUUCAGCCCCCAGUACAACCA